AGUGUUAGGGUUAUUUGACAGUGUUGAUCACAGCGGAGUCAAGGAAACUCUUCAGAGAGUUAAUGAUGCUCCACCCACAAUGCACCCAGUUCUUCGGUUGAAAAGUCAGCGCCAUUGUUGUUUCGCAUGUGGACUGUGGAACGUCAUUGAAAGGUGUUGUAAGACAAGGCAAUGUGGUGUUGACUGUUUUUAAAAUGAGUUCUCGGACACCUUAUCAAAGAUUACUGUGACGUCUGAAUCAAGUUGCAGCUCAGGUGCAUCAACUCUAUUCAUAGAAGAGAUUCCAAACAAGCGACAAAGAUCAUCUAUUGCAACACAGUUGGCUCAGGGUAUGCUUAAGUUAAAGGCUGGUGGUGAAGAGGAUCUACAGCAGUAUCAAGCAAGAGAAACCCUUACAGAUGCCACAAAAACACAAAUGGUUAACAGACUAGUGGCUCACAUCAUUGAUACUGGAAUGUUCCUACUAAAGGUUUCAUCAAGCAGUUAAAUUCAAUACCAGAACUGAGUCAGUUGGUGCUAAUAGCAGAAGGUCCCACUGGAUGUGAUGUUGAUGAAACAAGAGAAACGGCCUCCAUGUUACAUGUUCGCCGCCACCAGGACAGAAGUCUGUAAAAGUUUGUGCAAGUGAUGCAGCUGAAAGCCUUGCCAUCUUUCACAUGGUAUUUGUAACCUUUUGAUAUAUCUGUUACUUAUUUUGAUGAGAUCAAAAUCAAGUCUUGUUGAGUAUCACCAAUGUCCUAGCAUCAGUAGUGGUUGAUGAAUGGCUAGUCACUUGUUUGUUUCAAAUAUUUGCUGAUUCCUUGAGGUAUUUGAUAAACUGUUCAAGGCUCACUUUGCUUUAUGAUGAUGCACUUUUACACCUUCCUACUGCUUCUUCUGAGAACAGUGACACGUGUCUAUCUACAGAUCUGACCAAAGAAUUCUACUAUUAUUUGGUUUUAUUGCUUGAAGUGUUUUAACUGUGUCUCACUCUUGGCAUGACAGUUUUUUCGAAACAUUUGAUUGUUGACCAACACACUAUUCAAGUGAGACGUUUUUAAACUUCAUUAUGCAUUCGAAGUACUGUGUGAUGACUUAUUUAUUUAUUUAAAAUGUCUGAGCUUGAAUUUUAUAAACCACUUGAUAGUCUUACAGUGUUGUAAGGUUUGUCUAGUAUACCUUCCUUUCUGAUGUUUGUUCAACUGCAAGACAAAAAUAAAUGUUGUUAUGGAAAUUUAAA